UUUUUUGAUGUUAAUUCCUAAUCAACAUUUUGCACCCCAAACUUCAUCUCAGAGUUUGCUUGUAGAGAACCCAUCCUGGAACAAUUGCUAGGCUGAGCCACGUGUAGGGGCCCCUCUCAGAAAUACCCACUGCCAACUCUUUGGCUUCCCCUAGGACCCCUCUAUCUCUGCACAGCUCCUGGUACCUCCAUGGCUCUAUACAACUAGACCAUGAACUUUUAAAAUAUUCGUAUACAUUUUUAUUUUUAGUAUUUUUUUUUUUUUUUUUUUUUUUUACAACUCAACAGCAAAAAAGCCAACCACCCAAUGGAAAAAUGGGCAAAAGACUUGAACAGACAAUUCUCCAAAGAUGUACAGAUGACCAACAAGCACAUGAAAAAAUGUUCAACAUCACUGAUUAUUAGAGAAAUGCAAAUCAAAACUACUAUGAGGUAGGAGUUCCCAUCAUGGCUCAGUGGUUAACAAAACUGACUAGUAUCCAUGAGGAUGUAGGUUUGAUCCCUGGCCUUGCUCAGUGGGUUAAGGAUCCAGCAUUGCUAUGAGCUGUGGUGUAGGUCGCAGACAUGGCUCAGAUCCCAAGUUGCUGUGGCUAUGGCAUAGGCCGGUGGCUACAGCUCUGAUUCAACCCCUAGCCUAGGAACCUCCACAUGCCGCGGGAGCGGCCCAAGAAAUAGCAACAACAACAACAACAAAAGACAAAAAAAAAAAAAAAAAAAAAAAAAAAUUAAGAGUCCCGGAAGCAGUCUUAGGUUGUCUUUUUGUUUUGUUUAUGGUUUUCUUUGCUGUAAAGACCUUAUAGGGUUGAUUAGGUCCCAUUGUUUCUUUUUGUCUUUUGCCUUGGGAAAAUGACCUAAGAAAACGUUGCUACAACUUAUGUCAGAUUUACGUUUUGCCUAUGUUUUCUUCUAGGAGUUUUAAGGUGUCAUGUCUUUAAGCCAUUUUGAGUUUAUUUUUGUGUGUGGCAUGAGGGAGUGUUCUAACUUCACUGGUUUGCAUGUAGCUGUCCAGUUUUCCCAGCACCACUUGCUGAAGACACUGUCUUUUCUCCAGUGUAUAUUCUCACCUUCUUUGUUGAAGAUUAAUUGACCUUAGGCAUGUUGGUUUAUUUAGGGCUUUUUUGUUCCACUGAUCCAUGUUUGUUUUUGUUGCAACACCAUGUUAUUUUGGUUACUGUAGUUUUGUAAUAUUGUCCGAAGUCUGGGAGGUUCAUGCCUCCAACUUUGUUCUUUUUCCUCAAGAUUGCUUUGACAGUUCUGGGUCUUUUAUGGUUCCAUAUAAACUUUAGGAUUAUGUGUUCUAAAUUAUUAAUUAUGUUAUUUAUUAAUUAUAUGUUAGUUCUGUGAAAAAUAUCAUGGAAACUUUUGACAGGGCUCACAUUAGAUCUGUAGAUUGCUUUGGGUAGUAUAGCCAUUUUAACAAUAUUAAUUUUUCCAAUCCAAGAGCAUAGGAUAUCCUUCCAUUUCUUGGAAUUGUCUUCAAUUUCCUUUAUCAAUGUUUUACAGUUUUUGGUGUGUAAGUCUUUCACCUCUCCUGUCAGAUUUAUUCCCAAGUAUUUUUUUGAUGCACUUUUAAGAGUGAUUUUUUAACUUUUCUGAUAUUUCAUUGUUAGUGUAAAGGAAUGCAACAGAUUUCUGUACGCUAAUCUUGUAAGACAACCUAUGGACUGGGAGAAAAAAAAUUCACAAACAGUGCAGCCAGUAAGGGCUUAAUUCCAAAAUAUACAGGAGUUCCUGUCGUGGCGUAGUAGUUAACAAAUCCGACUAGGAACCAUGAGGUUGCUGGUUCGAUCCCUGGCCUUGCUCAGUGGGUUAACGAUCCGGCGUUGCCGUGAGCUGUGGCGUAGGUCGCAGACACAGCUCGGAUCCUGCGUUGCUGUGGCUCUGGCGUAGGCUGGCGGCUACAGCUCCGAUUAGACCCCUAGCCCGGGAACCUCCAUAUGCCGCAGGAGCGGCCCAAGAAAUGGCAAAAAAAAAAAAACGACAAAAAGACAAACCAAAAUAUACAAACCAACAUCAAAAAAAAAAAAAAAAAAAAAAAAA
rnacentral:lncRNA from 1 species